UGUAAAACACUUUCCUAUUUUGAUUCUUUUCAUCCUCAGCAGUCUUAUGAUCUAGGCAAAGCAGGCAUCUGAAACUUUGUUUUACAAGUGAAGAAAUGGAAGCUCAGAAAACUUAAGUGACUUGCUCAGGAUACAAAGCUAUGCCGCCUGCCAAGGACACUCUGUGUUUCUCAGGACUUAAUAACAAGAAACUGCAAUCAUCCUUGGGAACAGAUGGAGAUGAUGGAAGAGGAAAAGAAGGACACAGAUAACUGGACU